rnacentral:rRNA from 1 species
AUGAACGCUAGCGACAGGCUUAACACAUGCAAGUCGAGGGGCAGCACAGGUAGCAAUACCGGGUGGCGACCGGCGCACGGGUGAGUAACGCGUAUGCAACUUACCUAUCAGAGGGGGAUAACCCGGCGAAAGUCGGACUAAUACCGCAUGAAGCAGGGGCCCCGCAUGGGGAUAUUUGCUAAAGAUUUAUCGCUGAUAGAUAGGCAUGCGUUCCAUUAGGCAGUUGGCGGGGUAACGGCCCACCAAACCGACGAUGGAUAGGGGUUCUGAGAGGAAGGUCCCCCACAUUGGUACUGAGACACGGACCAAACUCCUACGGGAGGCAGCAGUGAGGAAUAUUGGUCAAUGGGCGCGAGCCUGAACCAGCCAAGUCGCGUGAGGGAUGAAGGUUCUAUGGAUCGUAAACCUCUUUUAUAAGGGAAUAAAGUGCGGGACGUGUCCCGUUUUGUAUGUACCUUAUGAAUAAGGAUCGGCUAACUCCGUGCCAGCAGCCGCGGUAAUACGGAGGAUCCGAGCGUUAUCCGGAUUUAUUGGGUUUAAAGGGUGCGUAGGCGGCCUUUUAAGUCAGCGGUGAAAGUCUGUGGCUCAACCAUAGAAUUGCCGUUGAAACUGGGGGGCUUGAGUAUGUUUGAGGCAGGCGGAAUGCGUGGUGUAGCGGUGAAAUGCUUAGAUAUCACGCAGAACCCCGAUUGCGAAGGCAGCCUGCCAAGCCAUGACUGACGCUGAUGCACGAAAGCGUGGGGAUCAAACAGGAUUAGAUACCCUGGUAGUCCACGCAGUAAACGAUGAUCACUAGCUGUUUGCGAUACAGUGUAAGCGGCACAGCGAAAGCGUUAAGUGAUCCACCUGGGGAGUACGCCGGCAACGGUGAAACUCAAAGGAAUUGACGGGGGCCCGCACAAGCGGAGGAACAUGUGGUUUAAUUCGAUGAUACGCGAGGAACCUUACCCGGGUUUGAACGCAUUCGGACCGAGGUGGAAACACCUUUUCUAGCAAUAGCCGUUUGCGAGGUGCUGCAUGGUUGUCGUCAGCUCGUGCCGUGAGGUGUCGGCUUAAGUGCCAUAACGAGCGCAACCCUUGCCACUAGUUACUAACAGGUAAAGCUGAGGACUCUGGUGGGACUGCCAGCGUAAGCUGCGAGGAAGGCGGGGAUGACGUCAAAUCAGCACGGCCCUUACAUCCGGGGCGACACACGUGUUACAAUGGCGUGGACAAAGGGAAGCCACCUGGCGACAGGGAGCGAAUCCCCAAACCACGUCUCAGUUCGGAUCGGAGUCUGCAACCCGACUCCGUGAAGCUGGAUUCGCUAGUAAUCGCGCAUCAGCCAUGGCGCGGUGAAUACGUUCCCGGGCCUUGUACACACCGCCCGUCAAGCCAUGGGAGCCGGGGGUACCUGAAGUCCGUAACCGAAAGGAUCGGCCUAGGGUAAAACUGGUGACUGGGGCU